CUAAUACUCAGGGUUCCGUGAACUCCCGACUGCGCACGGAGCGGAUAAUUACUUCAAGGCGCUCCGGUGCCUGUGGCUAACUUAUUUUGCGUGGUCUGCCUUCUCGCUUCUUAAGCCCUUCUUCAUCCCUCUCUCAUACGCAACACUCAUACGUUCCGACCCUCUCUCUCUCUCUCUGAGACACAUAAACACAUAGAAAAGCUUCUUAACUUAAUUCCUUUCCAUUCAAUUCAGAAGAUUCUGCAAAACUUCCAGUCAAGGGAAUUCUUCCUGAGAAUCGCGCGAGUACGUACACCUACUUAAGUCACAUUUGUUGGUUCUUCUUCUGAAACGUACAGUUGGGACCGGCCGUGCGUGCGGGAGAAGGGGAUAUAUAUAUAUAUAUAUAGGAUGGUGAUGAUGGGGUUGGAGAGCUUGGUGGCGAGCUUAAAGACGAAGCUGGUGAGGUCGGUGCUGAAGAUGAAGAACAGGCAGCAGCCUUGCGGCAGUGAUUACGAUAAGAUAGAGAAGAGUGAGAGCAUGAGGGUCGAGAUUAGGAGCCGCAAGGCUCGUAAGCUCAUCGAGGAGACCCUUAAAAUUGCCGACUCCCCCAAGACCAAAUCCUUCGCCUUAUAAUUUGAACCAUCGAUCGUAUAUAAUUGCUCAAGCAUAGUAUUGUAUAAUUAAUAACAAUACCGAGAAUUAUAUAUAUGAUAUGAUGCUUGACUAAUUUCAUGAAUCUCCCCCUCGUGAGCUGGGUUGGGUGAUGAAUUGAUUGGAUGCUUACUUGUU